rnacentral:snRNA from 1 species
AUCUUGGUGCAUGGGCUUUACGCAUGCCAGUGAGGAUUCGUCCGAGGCUGUGUUUUUGCUAGUUGAAAACUACUACAUGACCACUCCAAGUGGACUUCGGUCCGCUUGGGAAUUUUUGGCACAUAACCUC